CGCGGCCUAUCAGCUUGUUGGUGGGGUGAUGGCCUACCAAGGCGUUGACGGGUAGCCGGCCUGAGAGGGCGGUCGGUCACAUUGGGACUGAGAUACGGCCCAGACUCCUACGGGAGGCAGCAGUGGGGAAUUUUGCACAAUGGGCGCAAGCCUGAUGCAGCGACGCCGCGUGAGGGAUGACGGCUUUCGGGUUGUAAACCUCUUUUAUCCACCACGAAGGCUCCGUAUUUGCGGGGUUGACGGUAGUGGUUGAAUAAGCGCCGGCUAACUACGUGCCAGCAGCCGCGGUAAGACGUAGGGCGCGAGCGUUGUCCGGAAUUAUUGGGCGUAAAGAGCUCGUAGGCGGCGUGUCGCGUCUGCUGUGAAAGACCGGGGCUUAACCCCGGUUCUGCAGUGGAUACGGGCAUGCUAGAGGUAGGUAGGGGAGACUGGAAUUCCUGGUGUAGCGGUGAAAUGCGCAGAUAUCAGGAGGAACACCGGUGGCGAAGGCGGGUCUCUGGGCCUUACCUGACGCUGAGGAGCGAAAGCAUGGGGAGCGAACAGGAUUAGAUACCCUGGUAGUCCAUGCCGUAAACGUUGGGCGCUAGGUGUGGGGACUUUCCACGGUUUCCGCGCCGUAGCUAACGCAUUAAGCGCCCCGCCUGGGGAGUACGG
rnacentral:rRNA from 1 species